UCAAAUAUGUACUUGGCAUAUACAGCACAGUUUAAUUCAUAACAUAUACAACAGUUUAAUUGUGUUCUUCCUCCUAACAUGUGUGGGUCAGGCUGACUUCUGAAACACUCCUGCUUUAGGAGGAAAAGCUCAGCUGCACUCGGACAGUUUUUCGCUGGGACUCAGAAUAAUGCUGCUUUGGACCACUCUGUACAAGGUAUCUGAUAGUUGAAAACCAGGUGACUGACCCACUUGCUUUGAGCAGUUUCAUGGGUGCUUUCGUAAUUGGUAUUUGGUGUUCCUCUUAUUCAGAGACCUGUGACAACUUUGCUUGGUGCACUGUUCCAAAGGCUCUGCA